AUUGAACGCUGGCGGCAUGCUUUACACAUGCAAGUCGGACGAGUGGCGAACGGGUGAGUAACGCAUCGGAACGUACCGAGUAAUGGGGGAUAACUGUCCGAAAGGACAGCUACUACCGCAUAAUAUUCUAUCGGCCGAUGUCGUAUGAGCUGGUGGGGGGGGUAAAGGCCCACCAAGGCGACGAUCAGUAGCGGGUCUGAGAGGAUGAGCCGCCACACUGGGACUGAGACACGGCCCAGACUCCUACGGGAGGCAGCAGUGGGGAAUUUUGGACAAUGGGCGAAAGCCUGAUCCAGCCAUGCCGCGUGUCUGAAGAAGGCCUUCGGGUUGUAAAGGACUUUUGUCAGGGAAGCGGUACCUGAAGAAUAAGCACCGGCUAACUACGUGCCAGCAGCCGCGGUAAUUC
rnacentral:rRNA from 1 species